AGUAAUAUAUCGGAACGUGCCCAGUAGUGGGGGAUAACUGCUCGAAAGAGCAGCUAAUACCGCAUACGACCUGAGGGUGAAAGGGGGGGAUCGCAAGACCUCUCGCUAUUGGAGCGGCCGAUAUCAGAUUAGCUAGUUGGUGGGGUAAAGGCCUACCAAGGCAACGAUCUGUAGUUGGUCUGAGAGGACGACCAGCCACACUGGGACUGAGACACGGCCCAGACUCCUACGGGAGGCAGCAGUGGGGAAUUUUGGACAAUGGGCGCAAGCCUGAUCCAGCAAUGCCGCGUGCAGGAAGAAGGCCUUCGGGUUGUAAACUGCUUUUGUCAGGGAAGAAAUCCUCUAGGUUAAUACCCUUGGGGGGAUGACGGUACGUGAAGAAUAAGCACCGGCUA
rnacentral:rRNA from 1 species